UACGUAGAGAGCAAGCGUUGUCCGGAAUCAUUGGGCGUAAAGGGUACGCAGGCGGUCUAUUAAGUCAGAGGUGAAAUCCAACAGCUCAACUGUUGAACUGCCUUUGAUACUGGUAGACUUGAGGAUAAGAGGAGAAAACGGAAUCCCUAGUGUAGCGGUGAAAUGCGUAGAUAUUAGGAAGAAUACCGAUGGCGAAAGCAGUUUUCUAACUUAUUCCUGACGCUCAGGUACGAAAGCUAGGGGUAGCAAACGGGG
rnacentral:rRNA from 1 species